GUGUGCAGUGAAUUUAUUUAAUACACGAAUUUUACAAUUACUGAAAUGAACUUUUCCACGACAUUCGAAUUUAUUGAUGUGGGAGGAGAUUGGCCAGUAAUGAAUUUCAGGUGCGAAUGGUUAGUAAUGUGACCAGGAAAGUAUAAAAUAGUUGUUGCAUUGACGGUAGGAUUGGCAUGUUCCUGAAGUUGUGCUCGAUGUUUAGCCACUUAACCCUGGUUCUCGACGUACAGCCUUAUAACUUCCUUGUGCUCGACGUGCAGUUUUUAUCCUUUUGUAUAGGCUGAUUUAUUAAGAGGUUUUACACUGUCAGGAAAGUGGGGCAGGCAAACAUUUAUUGCUGCAGUACCUUCAAUGGGCUGAUGGCUGUGUUGGAAUGCUGAAUAUCCGUAUCUUCUCUGUAUCUAUCAUGUUUGGUCUUGGGAUUAAGCGCUGAGAUUGGUGUGUAGUGGCUUUGUAUAGGGCCGGGCCUGCAUCGGCACUUAACCUCCCCGGGUUUAGGUGAUUUGGGUGGAGUGGCACUGCUGUGUGGUGUGUAUUACCUAGAUGGUUGACACUGAAAUGGUGUUUUGAAGGUUACUCUUUGUUUGCGGUGUAUGCUGUGGGUCUUCUCUUUUCUUCUGUCUCUUACAGGUGAUAGGCGGUGCAUAAGAGCAGGCCCGACCCUCCUUGCCAUUGAGGAGAGCUAUUUUCUACUGUUGUGGAUUUUAUUAUUGAUGCAUGGUUUUUUUUUUUUUUGAUUUUUUUUUU